GAUGAACGCUGGCGGCGUGCCUAAUACAUGCAAGUCGAGCGAACAGACGAGGAGCUUGCUCCGCUGACGUUAGCGGCGGACGGGUGAGUAACACGUGGAUAACCUACCUAUAAGACUGGGAUAACUUCGGGAAACCGGAGCUAAUACCGGAUAAUAUAUUGAACCGCAUGGUUCAAUAGUGAAAGACGGUUUUGCUGUCACUUAUAGAUGGAUCCGCGCCGCAUUAGCUAGUUGGUCAGGUAACGGCUUACCAAGGCAACGAUGCGUAGCCGACCUGAGAGGGGGGUCGGCCGCACUGGAACUGAGACACGGUCCAGACUCCUACGGGAGGCAGCAGUAGGGAAUCUUCCGCAAUGGGCGAGAGCCUGGCGGAGCAACGCCGCGUGAGUGAUGAAGGUCUUCGGAUCGUAAAACUCUGUUAUUAGGGAAGAACAAAUGUGUAAGUAACUAUGCACGUCUUGACGGUACCUAAUCAGAAAGCCACGGCUAACUACGUG
rnacentral:rRNA from 1 species